GUGCUUGUUUCGGCAGCACAUACACUAAACUGGAACGAUACAGAGAAGACUAGCAUGGUCCCUGUGCAAGGAUGACACUCGUUCCUGAAGCGUUCCAUGUUUCA